UACGGGGGGAGCAAGCGUUGUUCGGAUUUACUGGGCGUAAAGGGCGCGUAGGCGGCCAGCACAAGUCAGUUGUGAAAUCUCCGAGCUUAACUCGGAAAGGUCAACUGAUACUGUCGGGCUCGAGUCCGGAAGAGGAGUGUGGAAUUCCUGGUGUAGCGGUGAAAUGCGCAGAUAUCAGGAGGAACACCAAUGGCGAAGGCAGCACUCUGGGACGUGACUGACGCUGAGACGCGAAAGCGUGGGGAGCAAACAGG
rnacentral:rRNA from 1 species